rnacentral:rRNA from 1 species
GACGAACGCUGGCGGCGUGCUUAACACAUGCAAGUCGAACGGAAAGGCCCUGCUUUUGUGGGGUGCUCGAGUGGCGAACGGGUGAGUAACACGUGAGUAACCUGCCCUUGACUUUGGGAUAACUUCAGGAAACUGGGGCUAAUAUCGGAUAGGAGCUCCUGCUGCAUGGUGGGGGUUGGAAAGUUUCGGCGGUUGGGGAUGGACUCGCGGCUUAUCAGCUUGUUGGUGGGGUAGUGGCUGACCAAGGCUUUGACGGGUAGCCGGCCUGGGAGGGUGGCCGGGGACAUGGGGCCUACGAGACGGCGCAGACGGCUACGGGAGGCAGCAGGGGGGAAUAUUACACAGUGAGCGGGAGCCUGAGGCGGCAGCGCCGCGUGCGGAAUGACGGCUUUCGGGUUGAGAACAGCUUUCGCCUGUGACGAAGCGGUAGUGACGGUAAUGAGUAAAGAAGCACCGGCUAACUACGUG